rnacentral:rRNA from 1 species
GAUGAACGCUGGCGGCGUGCCUAAUACAUGCAAGUCGAGCGAACGGACGAGAAGCUUGCUUCUCUGAUGUUAGCGGCGGACGGGUGAGUAACACGUGGAUAACCUACCUAUAAGACUGGGAGAACUUCGGGAAACCGGAGCUAAUACCGGAUAAUAUUUUGAACCGCAUGGUUCAAAAGUGAAAGACGGUUUUGCUGUCACUUAUAGAUGGAUCCGCGCUGCAUUAGCUAGUUGGUAAGGUAACGGCUUACCAAGGCAACGAUGCAUAGCCGACCUGAGAGGGUGAUCGGCCACACUGGAACUGAGACACGGUCCAGACUCCUACGGAAGGCAGCAGUAGGGAAUCUUCCGCAAUGGGCGAAAGCCUGACGGAGCAACGCCGCGUGAGUGAUGAAGGUCUUCGGAUCGUAAAACUCUGUUAUUAGGGAAGAACAUAUGUGUAAGUAACUGUGCACAUCUUGACGGUACCUAAUCAGAAAGCAACGGCUAACUACGUG